rnacentral:lncRNA from 1 species
GAGGGUAUUUAUAGGAGAAAAAUGUGGGAGGUGAAAAGAAAGAGUGGUUGAAAAGUAAUUAAAUGUGGUAAAUGAAAAAUGAAUGGGGAAUGUAAAAAGGUAGGGGUGUAACGUUCGUCUCCAACGGCUCCCUAACGUUCACAUGUCUGAGAGGCGUUACGCUCGUCACAAGGGUGUGACGCUCGUAACAAGAGUGUUGCGUGCCGUUCGUCAUGGAUUGUGUGACGCUCGUCACACAGUUCUUUUGGCAAGGCUUCUUCAGUAGCGCUACACAGACUUAAUUAGGAGAUGAAUAUAUUUUGAUUAUUUUGUUUUUGUUUUAUUUGGUUUUUAGAUUGUUCUAAUUAAUUUAGCUAAUUAAUUUGUAUUGCAUGCUAUUCUACUUCACAUAAUAAUAAUUCAUUCUAAGUAACAGUAGAGAACAUAGCCAUUGCAUAAAAUAAAAGCUUUAAUAAAAUUGACAUAAUGUAAUACACGAAGGGAAAACAAUGAAAUGAAAA